rnacentral:lncRNA from 1 species
CUUACCAUUGUACUUAUCCUGUAGGUCAAUGCAUCACGUCAAGAAGCCAAAUUGACAGAGGAGUGUGAUCUUCUCAUUGAGAUCAUUCAGCAAAGACGACAGAUUAUUGGAACCAAGAUCAAAGAAGGGAAGUGAUGAGGCUUCGCAAACUGGCUCAGCAGAUUGCAAACUGCAAACAGUGCAUUGAGCGGUCAGCAUCACUCAUCUCCCAAGCGGAACACUCUCUGAAGGAGAAUGAUCAUGCGCGUUUCCUACAGACUGCUAAGAAUAUCACCGAGAGGUGAGUGCAGGGGCCCCU